rnacentral:rRNA from 1 species
GGACCCGCACAAGCGGUGGAGCAUGUGGUUUAAUUCGACGCAACGCGAAGAACCUUACCAGGGCUUGACAUCCUUACUAACAUCCGGGUAAUGCCGGAUGGCCCGCAAGGGGGUAAGAGACAGGUGGUGCAUGGUUGUCGUCAGCUCGUGUCGUGAGAUGUUGGGUUAAGUCCCGCAACGAGCGCAACCCUUACGGUCAGUAGCCAGCGAGCAAAGUCGGGCACUCUGGCCGGACUGCCGGGGACAACCCGGAGGAAGGCGGGGAUGAUGUCAAAUCAUCAUGCCCCUUAUGUUCUGGGCAACACACGUGCUACAAUGGCGGCCACAAAGAGAGGCGAACCCGCGAGGGGGAGCGGAACCCCAAAAAGCCGUCCCAGUUCGGAUCGCAGUCUGCAACUCGACUGCGUGAAGCUGGAAUCGCUAGUAAUCGCGAAUCAGCAUGUCG